GUACAAUAAGCAAAAUAAGGGCGUAUGGGGGAUGCCUUGGCUCUCAGAGGCGAUGAAAGGCGUGAUAAGCUGCGAAAAGUUACGGGGAUCGGCACACACGACUUGAUCCGUAAAUACCUGAAUGGGGCAACCCACUAUGUUGAAGACAUAGUACACCGAUAGGUGGGCAAACCCGCUGAACUGAAACAUCUAAGUAGGCGGAGGAGAAGAAAACAAAAGUGAUUCCGUAAGUAGUGGCGAGCGAACGCGGAUUAGCCCAAACCAAUGUUGUUACGGCAAUGUUGGGGUUGUAGGACCACGACAUUUCUUGCACAAAGAAUUAGAAUCUACUGGAAAGUAGAACCAUAGAGGGUGAUAGUCCCGUAUAGGUAAUGAGUGUAAAGGAUAGUGGUAUCCUGAGUAGGGCGGGGCACGUGAAACCCUGUCUGAAUUUGGCGGGACCAUCCGCUAAGGCUAAAUACUCCUGAGAGACCGAUAGUGAACCAGUACCGUGAGGGAAAGGUGAAAAGAACCGUGAAUAACGGAGUGAAAUAGAUCCUGAAACCAUACGCUUACAAGCGGUCGGAGCCCUUUCGUGGGGUGACGGCGUGCCUUUUGCAUAAUGAGCCUACGAGUUAACGUUGCUGGCAAGGAUAAGUGGUUAAGCCACGGAUCCGUAGCGAAAGCGAGUCUGAAUAGGGCGCUUUAGUCAGUAGUGUUAGACGCGAAACCGUGUGAUCUACCCAUGGGCAGGUUGAAGCUGUGGUAACACACAGUGGAGGACCGAACCGGUUGACGUUGAAAAGUCUUCGGAUGACCUGUGGGUAGGGGUGAAAGGCCAAUCAAACUCGGAAAUAGCUCGUACUCCCCGAAAUGCAUUUAGGUGCAGCGUUGUGCAUAAAGUUAUAUAGAGGUAGAGCUACUGAUUGGAUGCGGGGGCUUCACCGCCUACCAAUUCCUGACAAACUCCGAAUGCUAUAUAAUGUUUCACAACAGUGAGGGCUUGGGUGCUAAGGUCCAAGUCCGAGAGGGAAAGAACCCAGACCAUCAGCUAAGGUCCCCAAAUAUAUGUUAAGUUGAAAGAACGAGGUUUGUCUGCCCAGACAGCUAGGAUGUUGGCUUGGAAGCAGCCAUUCAUUUAAAGAGUGCGUAACAGCUCACUAGUCGAGCGGACGAGCAUGGAUAAUAAUCGGGCAUAAACAUAUUACCGAAGCUAUGGAUUUUAACGCAAGUUAAAGUGGUAGGGGAGCAUUCUAACAGGGUUGAAGGUGUGUCGUAAGGCAUGCUGGACUGGUUAGAAAAGAAAAUGUAGGCAUAAGUAACGAUAAUGCGGGCGAGAAACCCGCACACCGAAAGACUAAGGUUUCCACAGCUAUGCUAAUCAGCUGUGGGUUAGUCGGGACCUAAGGCGAACCCGAAAGGGACAGUCGAUGGACCACGGGUUAAUAUUCCCGUACUACUUAUUACUGUGAUGGGGUGACGGAGUGAUGAAAGCGCCGCGAACUGACGGAAUAGUUCGUUGAAGUACCUACCUAUAAGCUGCGCAGGCAAAUCCACGCGGCUUGGGGAAAUACGAUAGUACUCGGAGACUUCGGUCAAAGAGAUAGUGCGCCUAAGGGCUUCCAAGAAAAACCUCUAAACUUCAGGUAAUAAGUACCCGUACCGCAAACCGACACAGGUAGUCGAGGAGAGAAUCCUAAGGUGCUCGAGAGAUUCAUGGCUAAGGAAUUAGGCAAAAUAGACCUGUAACUUCGGGAGAAAGGUCGCCAGCAGCAAUGCUGGCCGCAGUGAAGAGGUCCAGGCGACUGUUUAUCAAAAACACAGGGCUCUGCAAAAUCGUAAGAUGAAGUAUAGGGCCUGACACCUGCCCGGUGCUGGAAGGUUAAGAGGAGAUGUUAUCUUCGGAGAAGCAUUGAAUUGAAGCCCCAGUAAACGGCGGCCGUAACUAUAACGGUCCUAAGGUAGCGAAAUUCCUUGUCGGGUAAGUUCCGACCUGCACGAAUGGUGUAACGAUCUGGACACUGUCUCAGCCAUGAGCUCGGUGAAAUUGUAGUAGCGGUGAAGAUGCCGCUUACCCGCAGUGGGACGAAAAGACCCUGUGCACCUUUACUAUAGCUUAGUAUUGACCUUGGAUAAAUGAUGUGUAGGAUAGGUUGGAGACUGUGAAGUGGCGUCGCUAGGCGUUGUGGAGUCAUUGUUGAAAUACAACCCUUUGUUUAUCUGAGGCCUAACCCCG
rnacentral:rRNA from 1 species